CCUACGGGAGGCAGCAGUGGGGAAUAUUGGACAAUGGGGGGAACCCUGAUCCAGCCAUGCCGCGUGUGUGAAGAAGGCCCUCGGGUUGUAAAGCACUUUCAGUGAGGAAGAACGCCUGGUGGUUAAUACCCAUCAGGAAAGACAUCACUCACAGAAGAAGCACCGGCUAACUCCGUGCCAGCAGCCGCGGUAAUACGGAGGGUGCGAGCGUUAAUCGGAAUUACUGGGCGUAAAGCGCGCGUAGGUGGCUUGAUAAGCCGGUUGUGAAAGCCCCGGGCUCAACCUGGGAACGGCAUCCGGAACUGUCAAGCUAGAGUGCAGGAGAGGAAGGUAGACUUCCCGGGGUAGCGGUGAAAUGCGUAGAGAUCGGGAGGAAUACCAGUGGCGAAGGCGGCCUUCUGGACUGACACUGACACUGAGGUGCGAAAGCGUGGGUAGCAAACAGGAUUAGAUACCCCGGUAGUC
rnacentral:rRNA from 1 species